rnacentral:rRNA from 1 species
AUUGAACGCUGGCGGCGUGCUUAACACAUGCAAGUCGACCGGUAACGCGGGGGCAACCCUGGCGACGAGAGGCGGACGGGUGAGGAACGCUUGGGAAUCUGCCUAUCAGCGGGGGACAACCCGGGGAAACUCGGGCUAAUACCGCAUACGCUCUACGGAGGAAAGCCGGGGACCGCAAGGCCUGGCACUGAUAGAUGAGCCCAAGUCGGAUUAGCUAGUUGGCGGGGUAACGGCCCACCAAGGCGACGAUCCGUAGCUGGUCUGAGAGGACGAUCAGCCACACUAGGACUGAGACACGGCCCAGACUCCUACGGGAGGCAGCAGUGGGGAAUAUUGGACAAUGGGGGAAACCCUGAUCCAGCGACGCCGCGUGGGUGAAGAAGGCCUGCGGGUUGUAAAGCCCUUUCGGUAGGGACGAAAGCUCUCGACCUAACACGUCGGGAGGUUGACUUAACCUACAAAAGAAGCACCGGCUAACUCUGUGCCAGCCGCCGCCGUAAUAC